UGGGGAAUAUUGCACAAUGGGCGAAAGCCUGAUGCAGCAACGCCGCGUGAGUGAUGAAGGUCUUCGGAUUGUAAAGCUCUGUCUUUUGGGACGAUAAUGACGGUACCAAAGGAGGAAGCCACGGCUAACUACGUGCCAGCAGCCGCGGUAAUACGUAGGUGGCGAGCGUUGUCCGGAUUUACUGGGCGUAAAGGGUGCGUAGGCGGAUGUUUAAGUGAGAUGUGAAAUACCCGGGCUUAACUUGGGUGCUGCAUUUCAAACUGGAUAUCUAGAGUGCAGGAGAGGAGAAUGGAAUUCCUAGUGUAGCGGUGAAAUGCGUAGAGAUUAGGAAGAACACCAGUGGCGAAGGCGAUUCUCUGGACUGUAACUGACGCUGAGGCACGAAAAGCGUGGGUAGCAAACAGGAUUAGAUACCCUGGUAGUCCACGCCGUAAACGAUGAGUACUAGGUGUAGGAGGUAUCGACCC
rnacentral:rRNA from 1 species